CAGGCCUAACACAUGCAAGUCGAGCGGCAGCGCACCCUUCGGGGUGGCGGCGAGCGGCGGACGGCUGAGUAACACGUGGGAAUGUACCCCAAAGUGAGGAAUAACUGCCCGAAAGGGUAGCUAAUGCCGCAUAUGAUCUUCGGAUUAAAGGCUUCGGCCGCUUUGGGAACAGCCCGCGUACGAUUAGAUAGUUGGUGAGGUAAUGGCUCACCAAGUCGACGAUCGUUAGUUGGUCUGAGAGGAUGACCAGCCAGACUGGAACUGAGACACGGUCCAGACUCCUACGGGAGGCAGCAGUGAGGAAUCUUCCACAAUGGGCGAAAGCCUGAUGGAGCAACGCCGCGUGCAGGAUGAAGGCCUUCGGGUUGUAAACUGCUUUUAUGAGUGAAGAAUAUGACGGUAACUCAUGAAUAAGGGUCGGCUAACUACGUGCCAGCAGCCGCGGUAAU
rnacentral:rRNA from 1 species